rnacentral:lncRNA from 1 species
CCCGUCGAUCCCGCGUCCGUGAACCCAGGCGCCCGUUUCAAACGCAUCUUCAGCUUCCCCACCGCAUGCCAACAACGCCCGUCUCCAAAUCCUCCGCAAUCACCGGCGAUCCCAGCCCCUCUUCCGUGAUCCGACGAUCCCGCACCGCCCAGCCGAUCCCUGCAUCCGCGCCGGAUCUUCAACCAUGAUCAGCUCCCAUCAAUCACGAUCCUCUCCACGUGCUUGCUGAUGGGAUCUAUAUAAGAGAGGAGGAA